rnacentral:rRNA from 1 species
AUGCCGUCCGGCGGCAAGCCGCGGAGGUCCGCGUCCGCCAUCUUCGCCGACACGGCGAGCGGGCACCACCUCCUCACCGUCCAUGGCUACUCCCGCACCAAGGGCGUUCCCACCGGGGAGCGCGUCAAGUCGCGCCCUUUCGCCAUCGGCGGCCACCGCUGGCGCAUCGACUACUACCCCAACGGCGUGCGCGCGGAGGUCGCCGACUACGUGUCCCUCUCCCUGAUGCUCGACGAGGACGAGGACGUCGCGGCGGCGCCGGCGGUGAAGGCCCAGUACGACAUCCGCCUCGCCGGCGAGGCGGAGGAGGAGGAGGAGGAGGGGGCGGCGCUGGCGUCGUCGCCGGUGGACGACUUCACCCCCGGGAGGGGAUGGGUGUACACCACGUUCGUCUCCAGGGAGGAGCUGGAGGGCUCCGAGCAUCUCAGGAACGACUCCUUCACCGUCCGGUGCGACAUCGUCGUCGUCCGCGACUACCGCGCGGAGGACGCGGCGGUGGCAUUCGUCUCCGUUCCCCAGUGCGACCUGCGCCGGGACCUCGCCGGGCUCCUCGAGACCGAGAAGGGCGCCGACGUGGUGUUCGAGGUCGGCGGCGAGACCGUCGCCGCGCACCGGUGCGUGCUCGCGGCCCGCUCCUCGGUCUUCGCCGCCGAGCUCUUCCGGCCGAUGAAGGAGGGCAAUGCCGACGCGGGCGUCAUCGUGCGGGUGGAGGACAUGAAGCCGGAGGUGUUCAAGGCUCUGCUCCGUUUUGCAUACACCGGCUUGCUGCCGGAGACGCGCAAGGAGGACCAAGACGUGACAUGCCAGCACCUGCUCGUCGCGGCGGACAGGUACGGCAUGAGGCGGCUGAAGCUGAUAUGCGAGGAGAAGCUCUGCGAGUGCAUAAACGUGGGCUCGGCGGCGAUCGUCUUGGCGCUGGCCGAGCAGCACCGUUGCGAGGGGCUGAAGAAGGCGUGCUUCGAUUUUCUCGCGGCGCCGGCGAACCUGAGGGCGGUCGUGGCCACCGAAGGCUUCCAGCAUCUGAGCAGGAGCUGCCCUUCACUCAUGGCCGAGGUGAUCACCAUGUCCUUGGGCAUUACUUAG